AACAGGAUUAGAUACCCUGGUAGUCCACGCCGUAAACGAUGUCGACUUGGAGGUUGUGCCCUUGAGGCGUGGCUUCCGGAGCUAACGCGUUAAGUCGACCGCCUGGGGAGUACGGCCGCAAGGUUAAAACUCAAAUGAAUUGACGGGGGCCCGCACAAGCGGUGGAGCAUGUGGUUUAAUUCGAUGCAACGCGAAGAACCUUACCUGGUCUUGACAUCCACAGAACUUUCCAGAGAUGGAUUGGUGCCUUCGGGAACUGUGAGACAGGUGCUGCAUGGCUGUCGUCAGCUCGUGUUGUGAAAUGUUGGGUUAAGUCCCGCAACGAGCGCAACCCUUAUCCUUUGUUGCCAGCGGUCCGGCCGGGAACUCAAAGGAGACUGCCAGUGAUAAACUGGAGGAAGGUGGGGAUGACGUCAAGUCAUCAUGGCCCUUACGACCGGGGCUACACACGUGCUACAAUGGCGCAUACAAAGAGAAGCGACCUCGCGAGAGCAAGCGGACCUCAUAAAGUGCGUCGUAGUCCGGAUUGGAGUCUGCAACUCGACUCCAUGAAGUCGGAAUCGCUAGUAAUCGUGGAUCAGAAUGCCACGGUGAAUACGUUCCCGGGCCUUGUACACACCGCCCGUCACACCAUGGGAGUGGGUUGCAAAAGAAGUAGGUAGCUUAACCUUCGGGAGGGCGCUUACCACUUUGUGAUUCAUGACUGGGGUGAAGUCGUAACAAGGUAACC
rnacentral:rRNA from 1 species